CUUCUGAAAAAUUAUUUUGAAGCCUAAGCUCGGCCAGAUUAGGCUCAUUUUGAGAAAACUGGGCUUGAGGCCCAUUUCGUUGCGCUACGAAUCUGAUCUCACCUUAAGCCCAUUUGUGGAGGCUGAAGCCCGUUUUGACUAAACUAAAUCAGUAAGAUAUUGACUAAACCCCUCCUCUUUUGAAACAAAGCGAACUUGAAGAGGGCGGGGUUGCGGGGUUUCUUUUCAAAACCCUCCACAAAUAAAAACUAGACAAUAAAACAGAGAACAACACCUUCUCUUUCUCUCUCUGUCUGUCUGUUCGUUUCUAUCUGCUUGUUUUUGUCUUUGGGAUUCGUGCAGUCUCGAUCCUCAAUUUCUCUCGCUUUCUCCGCACAGAACCAAACCCAGUGAGGUAAUACCGCCUCUCCUCGAAAACCCUUCAACCCUACUUUUCUUUUUAUUCUCUCUUUUCUUUGCCACUCUUUUUUUUUUUUCAUCGCUCUCAUUUCCUCUUUUCUCUAGUUUUAGAAUGUUAGGGUUUGAGACGUUCCCUGCAACUCCGACCCAGGGCCAAACUGGCCCUGGCCAUGGCAUUCCUCUUGAGAGAUGGCAUCUGCUCAAAAGGUUAGAUACAAGAAUGAUGCAGAUGUCGUCUGCUGAAAGGCUUUGGUUCCAUUCCAACAUUGGACAUGAAAUACUAAUCAGUAAGGUACUGUUGGAAAUUGUGGGUUGAUAUACUUGAGAUUUGGAAUAGGGAAUGAAGCCAUUGGUCCGUGUAGCGUAGGGAAACAACAGAGUAUUAUAUUUGAUUUUUGUUGUAAAUUGAUUAAGAUGGUAGAAACGAUGCUUCAAUUUCUAUGUUUGUGCUCUUUUGAUUGCUAUCUCUGUGUGUGUGUGUCUGUGGAUUGUAUACCUAUGAUUCUUUUGAUGA